rnacentral:rRNA from 1 species
GACGAACGCUGGCGGCGUGCCUAAUACAUGCAAGUCGAACGAACCGCGACUAGGUGCUUGCACUUGGUCAAGGUGAGUGGCGAACGGGUGAGUAACACGUGGGUAACCUACCUCAUAGUGGGGGAUAACAGUCGGAAACGACUGCUAAUACCGCAUAGGACAUAGGAUCACAUGAUCCAGUGAGGAAAGGUGGCGCAAGCUAUCGCUACGAGAUGGACCCGCGGUGCAUUAGCUAGUUGGUAGGGUAAAGGCCUACCAAGGCGAUGAUGCAUAGCCGACCUGAGAGGGCGAUCGGCCACAUUGGGACUGAGACACGGCCCAAACUCCUACGGGAGGCAGCAGUAGGGAAUCUUCCGCAAUGGACGCAAGUCUGACGGAGCAACGCCGCGUGAGUGAAGAAGGUCUUCGGAUCGUAAAGCUCUGUUGUUAGAGAAGAACAGCGCAUAGAGUAACUGUUAUGCGUGUGACAGUAUCUAACCAGAAAGCCACGGCUAACUACGUG